CAUUGAUCAUCUGGACCUCUUGACUGACCCUUGUUGUUUUCUUGGGAGUUCCUGAAGGCCUCGUAGAACUUGGAGAGGUAGAGAACCAUCAACAGCUUGUCAGGUUCA